rnacentral:rRNA from 1 species
CGGGACGGGUGAGUAAUGUCUGGGAAACUGCCUGAUGGAGGGGGAUAACUACUGGAGACGGUAGCUAAUACCGCAUAACGUCGCAAGACCAAAGAGGGGGACCUUCGGGCCUCUUGCCAUCGGAUGUGCCCAGAUGGGAUUAGCUAGUAGGUGGGGUAAAGGCUCACCUAGGCGACGAUCCCUAGCUGGUCUGAGAGGAUGACCAGCCACACUGGAACUGAGACACGGUCCAG